GACGAACGCUGGCGGCGUGCUUAACACAUGCAAGUCGAACGGAGAUUCAGCAAUGGAUCUUAGUGGCGAACGGGUGAGUAACGCGUAGGCAAUCUGCCUUCUAGAUGGGGACAACAUCCCGAAAGGGGUGCUAAUACCGAAUGUUGUAGUUGGUUCGCGUGGACUAGCUACUAAAGGUGGCCUCUGAAUAUGCUACCGCUAGAAGAUGAGCCUGCGUCUGAUUAGCUAGUUGGAGGGGUAACGGCCCACCAAGGCUUCGAUCAGUAGCCGGUCUGAGAGGAUUAACGGCCACACUGGGACUGAGACACGGCCCAGACUCCUACGGGAGGCAGCAGUGGGGAAUCUUCCGCAAUGGACGAAAGUCUGACGGAGCAACGCCGCGUGAGUGAAGAAGGUUUUCGGAUCGUAAAGCUCUUUCGUUAGGGACGAACGUGCUCUUUGUGAAUAAUGAGGAGUAAUGACGGUGCCUAAAUAAGAAGCCACGGCUAACUACGUGCCAGCAGCCGCCGUAA
rnacentral:rRNA from 1 species